UGGGGAAUAUUGGACAAUGGGGGCAACCCUGAUCCAGCAAUGCCGCGUGUGUGAAGAAGGCCUGCGGGUUGUAAAGCACUUUCAGUGGGGAGGAGGGUUAUUUGGUUAAGAGCUGAAUGAUUGGACGUUACCCACAGAAGAAGCACCGGCUAACUCCGUGCCAGCAGCCGCGGUAAUACGGAGGGUGCGAGCGUUAAUCGGAAUUAUUGGGCGUAAAGGGUGCGUAGGUGGUUGGAUAAGUUAUCUGUGAAAGCCCUGGGCUCAACCUGGGACGGUCAGAUAAGACUGUUUGACUCGAGUAUGGGAGAGGGUAGUGGAAUUUCCGGUGUAGCGGUGAAAUGCGUAGAGAUCGGAAGGAACACCAGUGGCGAAGGCGGCUACCUGGCCUGAUACUGACACU
rnacentral:rRNA from 1 species